rnacentral:rRNA from 1 species
UACGUAGGCAGCAAGCGUCGUUCGGAAUUACUGGGCGUAAAGAGUGUGUAGGCGGUGCACUAAGUUUGUCGUGAAAUCUCCCGGCUUAACUGGGAGGGUGCGGCGAAUACUGGUGUGCUCGAGGGUGGGAGAGGUAAGCGGAAUUCCUGGUGUAGCGGUGAAAUGCGUAGAUAUCAGGAGGAACACCUGUGGUGUAGACAGCUUACUGGACCAUUUCUGACGCUGAGACACGAAAGCGUGGGGAGCGAACAGG